rnacentral:rRNA from 1 species
GACGAACGCUGGCGGCGUGCUUAACACAUGCAAGUCGAACGAGAUCCAUGUUGUAGCAAUACUUCGGAAGAUCUAGUGGCGAACGGGUGAGGAACACGUGAGGAACCUGCCCCGGACUUCGGGAUAACAGUUGGAAACGAUUGCUAAUACCGAAUACCUCUGCGAAGUGGCAUCACUUUGCAAAGAAAGAAUUUCGGUCCGGGAGGGUCUCGCGGCCUAUCAGCUAGUUGGUGGGGUAACGGCCUACCAAGGCAUCGACGGGUAGCUGGUCUGAGAGGAUGAUCAGCCACACUGGGACUGAGACACGGCCCAGACUCCUACGGGAGGCAGCAGUGGGGAAUCUUGUGCAAUGGGCGAAAGCCUGACACAGCAACGCCGCGUGCGGGAAGAAGGCCUUCGGGUCGUAAACCGCUUUCAGCAGGAACGAAAAUGACGGUACCUGCAGAAGAAGGUGCGGCCAACUACGUGCCAGCCGCCGCCGUAA